CCCUAUUAACUGAAGGAAACAGAAAACUCACCUUUGGAGGAAGGCUGACUGCGAGUAUAAAAACAGGAUAUGGGGACACAAAUGCCCAGUUAAAAUGAAUAGACUAGUCUGUGGACACACUACACAAAGGCAGCUGUUACGCUUGUGCCACAGGGACACCGGAGGCCCAAGUGGUUCCCUUUUCUCUGGGAUGGUCAUCAGACCCACAGGGUCUUGACUGUGUGAUGGCCCUCUUCCAGGACAAAAUGGCUUGAAAUAAUGAGUCCGGUUGGACUUUAUCACUGCUAUUCCCUGCGGUCAAAAGUUCUGUAGUUCAGCCCCCAAGAACUAUUCGGCAGCCAAAUGAAAAUGUCAACUUCUUGUGUCUAAAAUGAGAAGAGGCAAAGGCAACUUUCUUAGGCAACCUGACCAGGUGUAGUGAAAGCCGGUACUACCUCACCCCCCACAAUAAAUCCCAGUUCCAAGUGCCCCAGGCAGAUGUCUGGUGGUAUUGUGGGAGUCCACUAAGGGGCAUCUUUCCAGAAAAUCAAAGUGACACCUGUACUUUGGUGCAACUGGCUAUCCCUUUCACCCUGGCAUUUAGGCCCCAAUCUCAAACUCAGCCAAUCUUGAGGAAAUGAGACAUUCCCCCCCCGGGGGGGGGUGUCCUUUAACCCCCAUGUAUAUAUUGACUCAAUAGGUGUUCCAAACAAAUUUAAGGCAAGACAUCAGUUAGCUGAGCUGCCGGGUUUGAAUCUGCUUUCUCUUAUUGAUCAACCAUAAACAAAAAUGUUGAUUGGAUAAACUACAUCUAUUACAAUCAACAAAGAUUCAUUAUUUACACUAGAGAUGCCAUUAAAGAAACAGCUGAACAGCUAGGGCCAACUAGUUAAAUGGCAUUUGAGAACAGAAUUGCUUUAGACAUCAUGCUGGCAGAAAAGGGAGGAGUCUGUGUAAUGAUUGGUAACCAGUGCUGUACAUUAAUUCCCAACAACACCGCCCCAGACAGACCAUCACCAAGGCCCUAUGUGGAUUAAUGACCUUAACAGAUGAGCUUUCAGAGAUUUCUGGUAUUAAUGACCCCUUCACAGACCUUUUAGAAAAUUGGUUUAAGAAAAUGGAAGGGACUAAUAGCUUCAAUCUUUACCCCUCUAAUUGCUGUAGUUAGUGUCCAUGUCUUAGUUGCAUGUUGUAUAAUUCCUGGUGUCAGGGAACUUAUUCAAAGAUUAAUAGAAACUUCCCUAACAAAGCAACUGGGACCCCCUCCCCACCAAGCCAGUAUACUCCUGAUGGACACAAUAGAACAUGAGAGCCAAACCAUGCUCAAAGAGUUUGAAGAAAAGAAUAUUUGAUUUAAAAAAAAAUGAAAGGGGGGAAUUGUGGAAAGUAACAUAAUGUCUUUUGUAUCAAAGGAAAACUCGGUUACUCCAUUUUGCUCUGGUUUUGGCUGAAACGCCCUCCUGCGACCCCCCCCUCCUCUCUUCUCCCAGUAACAAUUUGUUUCAAAUUAGUUAAUCAAGAAAAAUGUGCGGCCCUGACCUGACCAAUGGGAAAGGGACAGGUGCACCACCUGCGUUAGGGAUAAAUAGGGAAGGUCUUUCCUUCUUUGCACGUGCUUUUUGAGUACCCACACCCUUCUGCAGAAGUAAAGAGCCUUGUUGAGGUCUCCCUGUGUUCACGUGUCUCAUUUUCCAACACUGAUGAUCCGAGCCAUUUCCCCAAUAUGGUGAUGAACAUGCUCAGCAUCCUGACCAUACUAAUGUCAACAACAGAAUACUAUUGUUUCCCCAAGAUGUUACCAUUAAACUAGGUGAACAGUACAUAAGCUGUCUCUGUAUUAUUUCUUACAACUCAUGUGAAUGUACAAUUACCUUAAAAUAAAAAAAGUUUAAUUUAAAAAAAUAUGAGUGUUCAGACAUUUCUAAAGGUGCUUCUGAAUCUGACAUUCAAACUUUCACCAUGAUUUGUGUGGAUGCUUCUAAUGCAGCAUUUUCCAAAAUAUGACCUAUGGAACAGGGGUCCACCUCAACAUGUUAGUAAGUGGCCUGUAGUUAAGAGAGUGGUUCUAGUGUCAAGAAAGUAUGGAAUGAGCAUUAACAGAAUAAAGACAACAAAAUUUGAAAAUGUAAUUCACUUUAAGCCAUAAUUUCCAAAUCUAAAACAUGGCCAGAGUCCCUUUCCUUUCCUUUCCUUUCCUUUCCCUUUCUCUUUUCCUUUUUGUUUUUUCCUUAGGAGUAACUAAUAGCAUGGAAUGGAACGCUGGCAGUCCCAGAACCCAAUUUGAAACAGGCUAUCACUACGUACAGUCUGUCCCUUGGACACAGGGGCUACUUUACGUUUUCCUUUCAGUCCCUCCCCCAUGCCUCCUGAGCUGCGUGUGUGCGUUUGGAGCCAUCCCCUUGAUCCCACUCUUUUUCUCAGUGUUCUCAGUCCUCUCUCCUCACUGAAUUCAUCAGAGCUCCCUAAGGGCCUUGCCUUCUUAGAGUCAACCAAGCACUUGCUCGGUACCUACCUGUCUUGACCCCUACCUGUCUUGACCCCCUUGAAGAGGUUCUGAGUGUCCAGGCCUUUCCAAUCUCUGUUAUUCUUCUGAAGUGACCCUCUGUUGUUUCUGCCUUCCACCACUAUUCUACAUCCUUUGGGAAAUGGAUCCUCCCUGGAUGUGGGUCACAUCCUUCUGGUGGCUACCCCUCAAGGACUGUCACCUGACAUGGGACACAAUAUGGUCAGAGCAGACCCCAUUCUUCUGGCCAAAGUGAGUGGUUCAGGGUGAGCAUAAGACCUAAAUCAAGCUAACAAAAGCCUUUCCCUGGAAUUAUCCCAUUUGGAGUUGGAAGAAAAGGAGUAUUGCCUCUUAGGUGGUAGAAGCUAGAAAGAUGUAAAUAUGAGGCCAUGUUAUCAAUUUUGAGAAUGUCUGUGGUAAGCAGAGGAUCAAGCCACCCAGAGACAAGAAGAAUUAAGGAACAGGAAAAAGUUCUGAUGUUAGUCAUUUGCUCUCUGGGAUCCUGUGGAUGGCUCUACUCCUGGACUUGCCGCUUACUUUAGCUAAUGUAUCCUUUUUUGCUGAAGUGAGUUCAGGUUGGAUUUCCAUCACUGCAGCUGAGAAAUGAUUUCUAACUAAUACAUCCCAUUCAGCUUCUCAUUCAUUCCUGAUCACCCUAAUAAGCAGUGAGGAUUAGAGCUUUUCAUGCCUCAUUUUAACCCAUUUGGACAUACUGAACACACUUUUACAUUUUGAUUUAAACCUGAUGGGCUAUCCAGGCACCUGCUCUGCUCUUUCUUCAUGAAUGGGGUUGAGAACAGAAGUGUUUUGAUGAAAAGAAGUCAGGAAAGGUCUGAAGCCUGGAGGGAUGUCAUGUGAGGACGAGAGUCAGCCAGUGAGGAGAAUGAGGACUAUGGAGAGUUGGGUAGAAAAGGUCCCUUAAAGGAGAGGGUGACCCCUCAAAUGUUGUCUCUUCCAAAAUGCUAUACAGGAGGGAGUCCGCAAUGGUCAGCCAGAGUCCUACAAAAGCAGGGAGGAGAGAAAAGUUAUGAAUGACAGGGAAACUGGGGAAGAAACAGCAAGAGAUUAACAUUCAUUCAGUGCCUAAUAUGUGCCAGACAUUGUGCUGGCUGCUUCUGGCAUAUUAUCUCUUACAACUACACUGUAGGCUCAAAAAAUGUCAAAUGAUAUCAAGCCCAAAGUGGUGGGUUCAAGAUUCAAACACAGGUCCCCUUCCCUCCAAAGCCAGUGCUCUUUAUACUCCAAUGUGGGUCUGUAUCUGCGCUUAGGAUCUGCAGAUUGGGGAGCUUACUGUCAGGACAGCAGAACCAGGUCAGCCUCAGAGCCACUUUCCUGACCUGACCCACACACAGGGCUGCCUCUCUGUUCUCUGGAACAGAAGAGAGCACCAGUAGUCUCUUGGUGGGUGUUGGAGCCUGGGGCGUUUGAGGACCUGCUUGGAAUUGGGAGGGAGGGGGUGGAGGCAGAUAUGGAACUAGGUUGUCAAAAAUUGGGGAAGCAUUUGAGAAAGCACUACUGUACCAGGAGAUGGAUGUGAUCAUCAUCUCUUAGUCCCCAGAAAAGACAGCGACCCAAGUCUGUUUGCAGGGGGGUGGGGAAGAAAAAGGGAAUAGCAUUUUCAUGAAGAUUCCGGAAGUAAGGAAGCUGGUUCCAUCUUAUAUAAUCUAAAAAUGCCCCCACCACCUACCCCCACCCCCACGCACAUAAGAAGGAAAGGGGAAAAAACCUCCCAGAAAUCACACAGUCAAGGCAAAUGCAGCGAAAUGGCUCAUUGGUUACUGUGGCAACCGACUCUUCCCUGCUCCGGCUGCUUAUCCCACGAUCCCUCUGUCACCCUAUUUUUAGACUGAAGACAACGAAUGAAAAUGGCUUUAAAAUAUUUUUUUCUUUUCUGUAUGUUGAAGACAUGCAUAACCUUUAAAAAACACUCAGAAGCCAGAGCUCCAAGGUAGAGGCAAGUCCCCUAGUCCUUAUAUAAGGCGAUCCUCUUUUCCUCUUUUCUCUGAGAUCCAGACCACCUCCACCCAGGAAGGAGGGUGCUGGGUUUCCUAUGAGUGAAAGGGCAACAAAUAAAGAGGAGAAACCAGAAAAGAUGGGAUGGAGCAUAAAUAGCAUAGCCACACAUGCAAAGUAAGGUGGAGAACCAAAGUCAUUAAAAAUGAAAAAAAAAAGUAAUAGUUUUUGAGGAAUAAGAGGAGUUUUGACUCAUCUGGCUAAGAGUGUCUACUUAACUCACCUCACUUCCACAUUUAAUUGUCCUCAUCUGUAAAAUAAAGGGGAUGAUGGUCUUUCCAAUCUUGAUAACCUCCAACAUUUUUUUAAAGCUCUAAAAUCUAUGAUCAUAUCAUUUUAACUGUUAAUCUUAUUAGCCUUGCAAAGGUGCCAAAUUGUAAGAAUCUACUAGAGUUUCCCUGAGAAACAGUCCUAAAUCUUCUUACACUGUUUGGCUUUAUUUCAGUUGUGAUAUUUGAGAAAUGUUAUUGUGGACUAUUUCUUUAUGUUAAUCUGAUGGAAAGACACCAAAAAACAAAGAAACAAAAAAAACCACAACUUUUUGUGCUGAUGAAGAU
rnacentral:lncRNA from 1 species